UGCAAUCUAUGAUGAAAAUUAUCCAUUGCUCCUGAUUUGAAAGUGAUUAUUAUACCAAUAUCACCAUCUUUCGGCUGAGAUUUGCA